GUGCUUGCUUCGACAGCACAUAUACUACAAUUGGAACAAAACAGAGAAGAUUAGUGUGGCCCCUAAUUUGUGAAGCAUUCCAUAUUUUU
rnacentral:snRNA from 1 species